GAUGAACGCUGGCGGCGUGCCUAACACAUGCAAGUCGAGCGAAGCACCUUACUUGAUUUCUUCGGGAUGAAAGUAUUGUGACUGAGCGGCGGACGGGUGAGUAACGCGUGGAUAACCUGCCUCAUACAGGGGGAUAACAGUUAGAAAUGACUGCUAAUACCGCAUAAGACCACAGCACCGCAUGGUGCAGGGGUAAAAACUCCGGUGGUAUGAGAUGGAUCCGCGUCUGAUUAGCUAGUUGGUGAGGUAACGGCCCACCAAGGCGACGAUUGGUAGCCGGACUGAGAGGUUGAACGGCCACAUUGGGACUGAGACACGGCCCAG
rnacentral:rRNA from 1 species